rnacentral:rRNA from 1 species
CCCUUAGAUGUUCUGGGCCGCACGCGCGCUACACUGAAUGGAUCAGCGUGUUUUCCCUUCCCGAGAGGGACGGGUAACCCGCUGAACCCCAUUCGUGGUAGGGAUCGGAGCUUGCAAUUGUUCUCCGUGAACCAGGAAUUCCCAGUAAGCGCAAGUCAUAAGCUUGCGUUGAUUACGUCCCUGCCCUUUGUACACACCGCCCGUCGCUACUACCGAUUGAAUGAUUUAGUGAGGACUUCGGACUGGGACCGAUGCGGCUUUCGGGCUGCGUCGGUAUUCUGGAAAGAUGUCCAAACUGUAUCAUUUAGAGGAAGUAAAAGUCGUAACA